GUAGGUGGCAAGCGUUGUCCGGAAUUAUUGGGCGUAAAGCGCGCGCAGGCGGUUCUUUAAGUCUGAUGUGAAAGCCCACGGCUCAACCGUGGAGGGUCAUUGGAAACUGGAGAACUUGAGUACAGAAGAGGAAAGCGGAAUUCCACGUGUAGCGGUGAAAUGCGUAGAGAUGUGGAGGAACACCAGUGGCGAAGGCGGCUUUCUGGUCUGUAACUGACGCUGAGGCGCGAAAGCGUGGGGAGCAAACAGGGAUUAGAUACCCUGGUAGUCCACGCCGUAAACGAUGAGUGCUAAGUGUUAGGGGGGUUUCCGCCCCCUUAGUGCUGCAGCUAACGCAUUAAGCAUCCGCCUGGGGAUACGGCCGCAAGGCUG
rnacentral:rRNA from 1 species